CCUUAAUGGUGCCUUUUCAAUGGGUUUCAGGUUUGAUCUAAGCAACUUUGAUUCUAUGGGUUCACUAGAUUGUGUUGAUUCUUCUACCUGUUGAACUUCAUAAGUUCCAUAUUAGAGGUAUUAGUUCCUUCACUAAGAUACUCUUUUUUCAAAAAGGAAUGCCGAACAACUCUUAUUAUUUGGGGUUAUCCCCUAGAUUCUUUGGGGUUAUCCUACAAAAUAAUACAUAUAAAACCAGGAUCCAAGC
rnacentral:lncRNA from 1 species